rnacentral:SRP_RNA from 1 species
GCUGGGCAUGGUGGCGCUUGCCUGUAAUCCCAGCUACUUGGGAGGCUGAGGCAGGAGAAUGGCUUGAACCUGGGAGGCGGAGGUUGCAGUGAGCCGAGAUGGCGCCACUGCACUCCAGCCUGGGCAACAGAGCGAGACUCUGCCUCAA